GCCAGGCAUGAUGGCCCAUACCUGUAAUCCCAGUGACUUGGGAGGCUGAGGCAGGAGGAUUGCAAGUUCAAAGCCAGCCUCAG
rnacentral:sRNA from 1 species